UCCCGGCAGUCCAAGUCGCAGCCACAUUUGUUGGGUCUAAAAUAUCCGUAGCUUGCCUUGUAAGUUCUUUGUGAAAUCGGGCCUCUUAAGGGUCCGGCGUGCAAAGAAUACUGCUUGAGCUAGAGACCGGGAGGCGCAAGAAGUACAAUAAGGGUAGCGGUAAAAUGUGUUGAUCCUUAUUGGACUAACAAUCGCGAAGGCAUCUUGCGAGAACGGUUCUGACAGUGAGGGAUGAAGGCUAGGGG
rnacentral:rRNA from 1 species